rnacentral:rRNA from 1 species
GACGAACGCUGGCGGCGUGCUUAACACAUGCAAGUCGAACGAUGAACCCGGAGCUUGCUCCGGCGGAUUAGCGGCGAACGGGUGAGUAACACGUGAGAAACCUGCCCUUGACUCUGGGAUAACUGCGGGAAACUGUAGCUAAUACCGGAUACGACCCUCGGCGGCAUCGCCAGGGGGUGGAAAGAAUUUCGGUCAAGGAUGGACUCGCGGCCUAUCAGCUAGUUGGUGAGGUAACGGCUCACCAAGGCGACGACGGGUAGCCGGCCUGAGAGGGUGACCGGCCACACUGGGACUGAGACACGGCCCAGACUCCUACGGGAGGCAGCAGUGGGGAAUAUUGCACAAUGGGCGCAAGCCUGAUGCAGCGACGCCGCGUGAGGGAUGACGGCCUUCGGGUUGUAAACCUCUUUCAGCACCGACGAAGCGCAAGUGACGGUAGGUGCAGAAGAAGGACCGGCCAACUACGUGCCAGCAGCCGCCGUAA